AAAAAAUGAUUUCCGGACUAUUUCUGGCCAAUGAGCUGAUUCCACAUGCGGAGCAGCAGUGAGUGAGCCACAUUCAAUAAAACGAGUAGCGCUGCAGAGAGUAGCCACUGACGAGAACUGCAACAUAGGGACAUAAGCAGAGCAGAACUGUGAUAGACUGCCGUAGAGAAUAAGUACGGGGCUUUCUGCAGCAGACUGUGGGAAAUAAGUGGAACAUCUUAGCACAGUGGCUCUGGGGGGUCGUUUUAAUUUCAGUCGUUUCUUAAAUUGGUACAGUAACAAUUAAACAGGAAUUGCAACUGUGAGAGCGGGAUAUUAUUAUUAUUAUUAUUUUUUUUUUGCUUUUUAAGUGUGUGUGUGGGGGGGUUCAGUCAGUCAUUUUUUAGUUUGUUUCGCCGAGAGUUCAAUUUAUGUGAGCACAUUCUGUUUAAUUUGUGUUGCUUUUUCUCAAAGAGAAGGACUGCGUUUUUUUUAAAGAGUGGACGUCGUUAAAAACAAAGUCAAACUGUCUUGAGAAAAAGACGAAGAUCAACCAUGGAGAACGCUCACACAAAGACUGUGGACGAAGUUUAUAACAAUUUCAAUGUAAAUGAAAGCACGGGGCUGAGUCUGGACCAGGUGAAAAAGCUGAGAGAAAAAUGGGGACCGAAUGAGUUACCAGCAGAGGAAGGAAAAUCUGUGUGGGAACUCGUGCGUGAACAGUUUGAAGACUUAUUAGUCAGAAUUCUCCUGUUGGCAGCUUGUAUAUCUUUUGUAUUGGCCUGGUUUGAGGAGGGGGAAGAAACGAUCACAGCCUUCGUGGAGCCUUUCGUAAUCUUACUUAUUCUAAUAGCCAAUGCCAUCGUGGGUGUGUGGCAGGAAAGAAAUGCUGAAAAUGCUAUUGAAGCCCUCAAAGAAUAUGAGCCUGAGAUGGGAAAGGUUUACCGGCAGGACAGGAAAAGUGUCCAGAGGAUCAAGGCCAAAGAUCUUGUCCCCGGAGAUAUUGUGGAAGUAGCCGUUGGAGACAAGGUUCCUGCUGAUAUCAGACUGUCUUCAAUCAAAUCCACAACCCUGAGAGUGGACCAAUCUAUCUUGACAGGUGAGUCUGUAUCUGUCAUCAAGCACACUGACCCAGUGCCUGACCCCCGCGCUGUGAACCAGGACAAGAAAAACAUGCUUUUCUGUGGUACCAACAUUGCCGCUGGCAAAGCCGUGGGUGUAGUGAUUGCCACCGGUGUUAACACGGAGAUUGGUAAGAUCCGUGAUGAGAUGGCGGCGACGGAGCAGGAGAGGACUCCCCUGCAGCAGAAGCUGGACGAGUUCGGAGAGCAACUGUCCAAAGUGAUCACUCUGAUCUGCAUUGCCGUCUGGAUCAUCAACAUAGGGCACUUCAACGACCCCGUGCACGGGGGCUCCUGGAUCCGCGGUGCCGUCUACUACUUCAAGAUCGCCGUGGCCCUGGCUGUGGCUGCCAUCCCCGAGGGGCUGCCCGCCGUCAUCACCACCUGCUUGGCCCUGGGCACCCGCAGGAUGGCCAAGAAGAACGCCAUCGUCCGGAGCCUGCCCUCCGUCGAGACCCUGGGCUGCACCUCCGUCAUCUGCUCUGAUAAGACCGGCACGCUCACCACCAACCAGAUGUCUGUCUGCAAGAUGUUCAUUGUUGACAAAGCCGAGGGAGACAGCUGCAAACUGAACGAGUUCAAUAUCACUGGCUCUACAUACGCACCUGAAGGAGACGUGUUUAAAGAUGGAAAAUCUGUCAAAAGCUCCCAGUACGAUGGCCUGGUGGAACUGGCAACCAUCUGUGCAUUGUGCAAUGAUUCCUCUCUGGAUUUCAAUGAGGCGAAGGGAGUGUUUGAAAAGGUUGGAGAGGCCACCGAGACUGCCCUCACCUGUUUAGUGGAGAAGAUGAAUGUGUUCGAUACAGAACUGAAGGGACUGUCCAAGGUUGAACGUGCCAACGCCUGCAACUCUGUUAUUAAACAGCUGAUGAAGAAGGAGUUCACCUUGGAGUUCUCCCGCGACAGGAAGUCCAUGUCUGUCUUCUGCACCCCGAACAAGGCCCGCACCACCACCAUGCACAAGAUGUUUGUCAAGGGAGCCCCAGAGGGGGUGAUUGAAAGAUGCACACACAUCAGAGUUGGAGGCAGUAAGGUUCCCCUGACACCUGGCAUUAAAGAGAAGAUCAUGACUGUGAUCAAGGAGUGGGGUACCGGCAGAGACACGCUGCGCUGCCUGGCUCUCGCGACUCGAGACAAUCCACCAAGGAAAGAGGACCUUGUGCUGGAGGACUGUACACGCUUCGCUGGGUACGAGAGUGACCUGACCUUUGUGGGUUGUGUGGGUAUGCUGGAUCCCCCGAGAACAGAGGUCGCUGCCUCCAUUAGGCUCUGCAGACUUGCUGGCAUCCGCGUCAUCAUGAUCACCGGAGACAACAAGGGUACGGCUGUGGCAAUCUGCAGGCGCAUCGGCAUCUUCGGUGAGGAUGAAGACGUGACUGACAGGGCGUUCACAGGCCGAGAGUUUGACGAUCUCUCCCCAAGUGCGCAGGGAGAAGCAGUCAAGAAUGCACGCUGCUUCGCCCGAGUCGAGCCCUCGCACAAGUCCAAGAUCGUAGAGUUCCUGCAGUCUUUCGAUGAGAUCACUGCCAUGACUGGCGAUGGUGUGAAUGAUGCCCCUGCCCUGAAGAAGGCUGAGAUCGGUAUUGCAAUGGGCUCGGGCACAGCUGUGGCAAAGUCCGCCUCGGAGAUGGUUCUGGCAGACGACAACUUUUCCACCAUUGUAGCUGCAGUGGAGGAGGGCCGUGCCAUCUAUAACAACAUGAAGCAAUUCAUCCGCUACCUCAUCUCCUCCAACGUGGGAGAGGUCGUCUGUAUUUUCCUCACUGCUGCUCUGGGCUUCCCUGAGGCCCUGAUCCCUGUUCAGCUGCUCUGGGUGAACCUGGUCACUGACGGACUGCCGGCCACAGCCCUGGGCUUCAACCCCCCUGACCUGGACAUCAUGGACAAGCCUCCCCGCAACGCCCGUGAGCCCCUCAUCAGCGGCUGGCUCUUCUUUAGAUACAUGGCCAUUGGAUGUUAUGUGGGAGCUGCCACAGUUGGUGCUGCAGCCUGGUGGUUUAUUGCUGCUGAAGAUGGACCCCGAGUCACCUUCUACCAGCUGAGCCACUUCUUGCAGUGCAGUCCUGACAAUCCAGAUUUCCAAGAUGUAGAGUGUGAAAUCUUUGAGUCUCCCUACCCAAUGACCAUGGCUCUGUCUGUGCUGGUGACCAUUGAGAUGUGCAAUGCACUGAACAGCUUGUCUGAGAACCAGUCCCUGAUCAGGAUGCCUCCUUGGGAGAAUGUUUGGCUUCUGGGAUCCAUCUGCCUGUCAAUGUCCCUGCAUUUCCUUAUCCUCCAUGUUGAGCCACUGCCGAUCAUUUUCCAGAUCACCCCCUUAAACGUCCUUCAGUGGAUGAUGGUGCUAAAGAUCUCCCUCCCAGUAAUCCUCCUGGACGAAAUGCUCAAAUUCACGGCCCGCAACUACCUGGAGCCUGGUAAAGAGUUUGACAAGCCCGUGGGCGGCAAGUGUGGUUUCUCCGCAUGCACAGAGGGGAUCUCGUGGCCGUUUGUGCUGGUCUCUGCACCCUUGAUAGUCUGGCUGUACAGUACAGACACUAACAUUUCCAUGUUCUGGUCUUGACUGACAUAGAUUGGUUUGGGUAAAUAAAAAUAAAACAUUACUAAAAAGAAAAGUAACGACCAUUAACUUGUAAGUGUACCCAAAGUUUUACCGUUUUUAAACAGCUGUCUGAAUCUGCUGGUUUUUUUUUUUUUGGUUUUUUUUAAAGCAUCAGUUCUCAAGGUUUUUUUUGUCUUUGUACAUGGUGUGUUUUUUUUAUUUUUGUUGGAGGUUUUCCUUUUCCUAACUCCCGAUUUUUUUUUUUAAAGAAAAAUAAGGGAAGAAUUCUCCCCCCCCCCCCCCCCCCAAAUGAGAAUAAAGAAAUGUCCAUUGACAUGUACAGAGAUUUAACACUAUUUUAUGCAAAUAUUGUUUUUGUAGAUUUGAAAGAAGUAAAAAAAAAAAAAAAAAAAGCAUGUACAGCAUUCUGUUUUAUCAUAUUUUAUGUUGUACAAAUUCAGGAGCCAGUGGACAUUGCUGUUUAGAGAUUAAUUUGCAAGAACGUUUUUUUAAAGUGAAUGUUGACUUCUGGUGACUAAAACAAAACUGCAUGUACUGUGUUCCUGCAUGAACUGGUGGGGUUUCCUGUUCAUUUUGAUGACCUUUUCCAUGCUUGUUUUAUUUUAUCUGCUUGUUUUGUAUUUCAAAGCCAGUUUUUCUGCAUCAGGCAGAGCACAGCUACCUCAAUCAAUAUUGCUUUAGUCUGUACCCUACUGUUUUUAAUCUCAUGUUUACAUCCCCAGUGAUGUUUUGAGGUAUGCCCAUACUUGCUUGUGCAGAAAAAUGUUCUCCCCAUUGAUUCAACAAGUUGUUUGUUUUUUUCCAUACAAUUUUUAAAAAUAUUUAUUUGUCUAUUUGUAUUUUAUCUGAAUAGUCAUAUAUGGAUUUUGUUUUUCAUUAAACUUUUUUUUUGAGGGGCAGUGUUACCCUUUUCUUUAUAACAUGGGGUUAAUUCAGACUAGUUUAAAAAAAUAAAAUGAAAUAAAUUGUUUUUAAAUUAACCUGAAGUUAAAACUAAUACAAUCUCCUGAUUUUUAAUUGUUUUUGUCUUUUUCUAUUUUAUUUAAAACUACAUAUGAACCUAUCGUUAGGUUUUUGUCUUAAUUUAUAAGCACUGAGACAUUAUCAUUGUGAUCAUUUCUAUACAAAGCAUUUAUAUGUGCAGAUCCUUGAAUAUCGUGGAUGAUUGUUAAUACUUUGGUUCCUGAGCACAAGAAAGCCAAUGGUUUGGUCCAUGUUCAUUUCCCACAAUCUCUGGAAAUUCCUUAGCCUACACAGGUUCUGCAUACAGGGAAAGGGGCUGAAGGAGUCUGUAAAUUUGUAUAUACCACAUAACCAAAAACGUAACGAUGUAUAGUAGAAGGACCAGUUUUAAGGUUUAACGUACUAUCACACUAAUUUGUAGAUGUCACAGGAAUAUAAUCGACAAUAGCGUAGUAACCCUCUGGAGCAUGUUUUCCGCACUACCAGACCAGUAUUGCUGUGUUUUAUAUUCACAAGCCUAACUGCUGUUUUCCUCCAAUGCCUUCCAACGUCCAACUAAACAAGAGACGGGUAAUCCCCUCUUCUCGUAAACAUUUGUUUCAGUGUGCAUGUGUGUUUUAAGCAGCACAUCUACUAAGACAGCUGCAUGUAUAAUGUGCAAACAGAAAAAAGAUUUAAAAAAAGAAAAAACAGGUGUGCUAAUAUGUAGGGCUUAUGAAGAAGCAGCAGCAGCAGAAACUGCAAUGCAUCCAGAACAACUAGGGCAACGCACAAGAGAAACCUGCGGUACCAUUGCUGCAUGGAAGACCAGCCUUCCUUAGCCUUGAUCCUUAACACAGAGGCAAGGAGCUGUCACACCAACUUCUCCACACUUCACAAUGUGCAAAAUGUCGUAGUUUAUAUAAAUGUAUAAUAUAAUUUACUGUAAUGCAUGUCUCCAGUUGUAAGUAGCCGAAACUGUAUUUUAUCAACUAAAAAUUUCUUUAUAAACAGCUAUGUACAAUAUUGCUCUAUAUUCUAUAUAUAUAUAAAUCCAUGAAAAAAACAACAGAUGUUUAGUGUUAAAAACUGUAAACCUUCAGUCCAUGAUUUCACAACCAGAUAUUUUUCCUAAGGAAAGCUUUUCUUUCAGUGUUUAUUUAUUUAUUUUUUUGGGUGUGCAAAAUAAUGGAAUAGAAAUUACUUUUUUGCACUGUAAUAAUGUUACUUAAAGAGUAUAACUCAGUAGUUUGGCAGACAUUGUUGCAAUAUAGAAUUAUGAUGCAUACAUUGUGAAACAAUCUGUGGGUAAGGUUAGCAGCAUGUUUUGGCUAUGUAGACUACUGUAAAUAAGAUCAAGCGUUUAUUUCAGCUCUGAUGAUUGUAACAUGCAUCACAUGAAAUUCAUGGUUUCAGGUAAAUAAAACUAUUAUACGAGA